UGAUAAUGGCGAAGAGGUCACACCCGUUCCCAUGCCGAACACGGAAGUUAAGCUCUUCAGCGCCGAUGGUAGUUGGGGGAUCUCCCCCUGUGAGAGUAGGACGUCGCCAGGC
rfam:Bacillus vietnamensis strain TCD-SED5 scaffold_17, whole genome shotgun sequence.